rnacentral:rRNA from 1 species
UCCUACGGGAGGCAGCAGUGGGGAAUUUUGGACAAUGGGCGCAAGCCUGAUCCAGCAAUGCCGCGUGCAGGAAGAAGGCCUUCGGGUUGUAAACUGCUUUUGUACGGAACGAAACGGUCCUGGUUAAUACCUGGGGCUAAUGACGGUACCGUAAGAAUAAGCACCGGCUAACUACGUGCCAGCAGCCGCGGUAAUACGUAGGGUGCAAGCGUUAAUCGGAAUUACUGGGCGUAAAGCGUGCGCAGGCGGUUUUGUAAGACAGGCGUGAAAUCCCCGGGCUCAACCUGGGAAUUGCGCUUGUGACUGCAAGGCUGGAGUGCGGCAGAGGGGGAUGGAAUUCCGCGUGUAGCAGUGAAAUGCGUAGAUAUGCGGAGGAACACCGAUGGCGAAGGCAAUCCCCUGGGCCUGCACUGACGCUCAUGCACGAAAGCGUGGGGAGCAAACAGGAUUAGAUACCCUGGUAGUCU